AUACGUAGGGGGCGAGCGUUGUCCGGAAUGAUUGGGCGUAAAGGGCGCGUAGGCGGCCCGGUAAGUCUGGAGUGAAAGUCCUGUUUUUAAGAUGGGAAUUGCUUUGGAUACUGUCGGGCUUGAGUGCAGGAGAGGUAAGUGGAAUUCCCAGUGUAGCGGUGAGAUGCGUAGAGAUUGGGAGGAACACCAGUGGCGAAGGCGACUUACUGGACUGUAACUGACGCUGAGGCGCGAAAGUGUGGGGAGCAAACAGGAUUAGAUACCCUGGUAGUCCACACUGUAAACGAUGAAUGCCAGGUGUAGGGGGUAUCGACCCCUUCUGUGCCGCAGUCAACACAAUAAGCAUUCCGCCUGGGGAGUACGGCCGCAAGGUUGAAACUCAAAUGAAUUGACGGGG
rnacentral:rRNA from 1 species